UGGUCAUUCCAAGCAGAACUGGAGUAUUUUGGAGCAGUACUUCAGGCAACGUUGCCUACCACAGGUUGUUCAUCAUCACAUCCAUGCAGUGCAGUGGAACCACACACAGCUCAAAGGCUGCAGAUGCACAGAAGGAGAUUCCCUCAGUUCCAUCUCGGCUCUUUUGAAGUAUUUGGAGGCAGACUGUCUUAACUGGGCUCUUUGGGUGUCAGAGGGAUGUUAGUGGAGUCUCUUAAAACUGAUUAAUUGCCUUCAUUAGGAGCUGUACUGUAAACAAGCAGUGAUAGUGCAGAAAAUUCAUCGCCAGUCAACAGAAAUGAAAAGCCCAGAGCAAACAUAACAAGCGAUAACUAAUUAUCAACACAUGCCCUAGUUGCUUAAUAGCUCUUUCCCUGAGAUUUGCAGUUGGUGUCUGUAAGUGCUGCUCGAGGAUCAGCCCCUCCUUGCCUGUGCUUCCCAGUAUCACACUGAUGACAGCCUGAAAGCAAUUUUCUCAAUGUAUUUGUUAACACAUACAGAAAGAGAUUUUUCUUGACUGAGAAGCUCAGUCCAAGUAAAAUUCUGACUGGUCCAGCUCCUUCCUUGAGGAGCUCGACACAGCCCCUUGCACCGAGCCAGGCUUUGCCUGCCGAGCUCGCUCAGCUGCUGGGGUCAGACCAACUCUGUUUGGCCGUGUUCAGACCUGAAAUGGAGGCAAUUUCGAGAUGAUCAGCACUUCUCAGAAUCAAUCCCCUCUGCUCACAGAGAAAAUACACUCUGGACCUGAUCAACCCUGUACUUGUAUCCACAUAGAACUGUAGCAUCCUCUGUUCACUUUGCAUUAAACAGCCACAAAACACCGAGUCAGAUCUGUGUGUGUUCCACACCAUAAAGUCAGAUAAAGCCUUCUGGCCUCACCUACUGCCAGAUCCCAAUAAUAUUUACUUGUAAUAUCUCUAGAAUAUGUUUGUGACUUGGAAACAGAUGGUAUGUGUGGUCUCUCUCAGAAAAAGUCAUU